rnacentral:tRNA from 1 species
GAGAUUAAAGUAGGUUACAUCAUUUUUUCGUAAUGAAGAUGGUUAGGUUUU